AACAUUUUUAUUCCUCUUUGUCGUACGUUCAGCACUUUCACUAAAUAUCGCCUUCAUUGGAGCACAUCGACUGUAGUUGCCACCCCUUUCCUCUUCCGAUUUCAUUGUCGUCGUUGUCGCCUUAUUUAGAGAAGAUGAUCAAUAAUCAUGGAAGGAUGAUAUGUAUGCGCAAGUUAAAAAGCCGAAAAAAAGGGGUCUGUUGGUUGUAUGGGAACAAUAUCCACUUCAUCUCAUAAGUUCGUUCCUUCAUCAUCUAAAUCCCAACAAAAUUAAAAGAUAGAACGGUUAAAAACAGAGAUUCAAGAUUUGAAGGAAGUUUUAGGUAAUGUUUUAACUUUACUUAAAACAAAGUUUCCAGACGACAAUGUGAAUGUUCUAACUGUUAUGCGGGCGUUCAAUAGAGAGGUAUUUGAUGCUAGUAGUGGUCUAAAUUUAUCACAACGUCCGAGAAAUUGAUCUUCAAGUUGCAGUCAUCAACUUGAUGAAGAUGAAGAUGGUAAAUUAUGUCCAAACUUCAUUAUUUUAUAUAAUUUCGUUAUUUGAUUUCCUUAAAUACAUAUACAUUUUUCAUCAAUUUUAUACAAGUGAUACUCCAAAGGAAUAUGUGGCUAUGUUUAGACUUUGUUUGGACUAUAUAUUUGGUUUGGUUGAUGACUUUAGUCUUGACUAUGUAUUUCGUUUAUGUUUGAGUUAUGUAAUUUGGACUAUGUUAGCGUUAUAUUUGACUUUUUGUGAAUUAUAAAUUUUAGUUUGAACAAAAUUAAAAAUUUUUUUAGCAA